UACGUAGGGUCCGAGCGUUGUCCGGAAUUAUUGGGCGUAAAGGGCUCGUAGGCGGUUUGUCGCGUCGGGAGUGAAAACACGGGGCUUAACCCCGUGCCUGCUUCCGAUACGGGCAGACUAGAGGUAUGCAGGGGAGAACGGAAUUCCUGGUGUAGCGGUGAAAUGCGCAGAUAUCAGGAGGAACACCGGUGGCGAAGGCGGUUCUCUGGGCAUUACCUGGCGCUGAGGAGCGAAAGUGUGGGGAGCGAACAGG
rnacentral:rRNA from 1 species